ensembl:piRNA 21ur-13170 ncRNA
UGGUUUAUUUAACAGGACACU